rnacentral:rRNA from 1 species
UUUUUUUAACAAACAUGUCUUAAUGUUUUGGUUUAUUAAGUCUGGCCUGCUCAAUGAUUAUUAUUAAAUAGCCGCAGUAUUUUGACUGUGCGAAGGUAGCAUAAUCAUUUGUCUUUUAAUUGGAGACUUGAAUGAAUGGUUUUAUGAGGGAACUCCUUUCUUUAUACUAAAUUUUGAAUUUAAUAUUUAUGUUAAAAAGCGUAAAUUUUUAAAUGGGACGAGAAGACCCUAUAGAAUUUUAUUUUAUAUGUAAUUAUUUGAUCUAUUGGUUUAUUAUUAGAUAUAAUUUAAUUUAGAAUUUUGUUGGGGCGACAUUGAGAUUUUUUUUACUCUCAUAUUUUAUUUUUUAUUGAUUUUUAUAUUUAGGAUCCUUUAUUUAUGGAUAUUUAGUUUAAAUUACCUUAGGGAUAACAGCGUAAUUUUUUUGGAGAGUUCUUAUUGAUAAAGAAGUUUGCGACCUCGAUGUUGGAUUAAAAUUAGAUUUAAGUGCAGAAGCUUAAUUUUCUAGGUCUGUUCGACCUUUAAAAUUUUACAUGUCGGUUUUUUAACC